GGCUAUCUGGCGCAAUGGUAGCGCGUUUGGCUUCGAUUGCUGAAUUCGCACCAAAAGGUUGCAGGUUCGAGUCCUGCGGUCAUCA